rfam:Thermincola sp. JR, complete genome.
UAGACUGACAGUAAAGUUCCUGAUCCCCAGCAAGCUUUCGAGUUUGCCCUUACCGGAAUUAUACCAGCGUUAGCAGGAGCUAACAUGAUAUAUGGUCUGG